UCGUUAGCGUCAUCAGGCUUUAGCUCGCUUACUAGGUCUUCAGAGUCUAUGAUACUGCAAGAUAUAGGAAUGUGCAAAACAACGCAAGGGAAGGAUAGAAAACCUAACAGAAUUAAAAGAUAUAGGAAAAGGAAGAAAAUGAAAGACUGGAUACAAAGAAAACUGAAGCACAUACCUCCAUCUAUAUACAAAUCAGUUUUAUGUUGCAGGACUUUGCAGAGGUAUGUCUUUGUGCUCAUAAAUAUUUCACAGGUAAAUUUGUACCUUGCCAGUUAAAAGACUGUUGCAUACUGAUGUCUCAGGUGUGUUGAAAUGGCCUUAAAAAU